UUCUCCCCAAUCUCUUUUCUGUGCACUGUUUCUGUGUGCUGGGCUAGUUUCGGCUGGGCCAGCACGGGGCGGAGUUUGAAAAUUGUUUGCAUGAAUUUUUCCCCUGGGGAGAUUUCCGCUGAAAACUUUUGACAUCUCCGCCGAAUUUUAAUACUAUUACUGACUGACCAUGAAAAAGUUAAUAUAACAACUUUCAGCAAUGGAUCUCUCGGCUUUCGUAUCGAUGAAGAACGCAGCGAAUCGCGAUAUGUAGUGUGAUCUGCCUCUAGUGAAUCAUCAAAUCUUUGAACGCAUCUUGCACCCUUUGGUAUUCCAAAGGGUACGCCUGUUUCAGUAUCAUUAUAACCUUUCUCCCCAAAGCUUUUUGGCCAUGGGAAGAAAGAGCAUAACCGGUGGCCCAGCAAUCUCCCAUCAGGGGGAUCGUCUCGGCUGGAAUUAGUGUUGCAAUGGUGGGCCAACAGGUCUCCGCUCUUGAUAAAUGAAUUUUUAUAAAGAGUAGGGAUGGUCAACCGAAAGUUGGAACUAAACC
rnacentral:rRNA from 1 species